rnacentral:rRNA from 1 species
UACGGGGGGGGCAAGCGUUGUUCGGAAUUACUGGGCGUAAAGGGCUCGUAGGUGGCCAACUAAGUCAGACGUGAAAUCCCCAGGCUCAACUUGGGAACUGCGUCUGAUACUGGAUGGCUUGAAUUCGGGAGAGGGAUGCAGAAUUCCAGGUGUAGCGGUGAAAUGCGUAGAUAUCGGGAGGAACACCAGUGGCGAAGGCGACUACCUGGCCUGUUCUUGACGCUGAGGCGCGAAAGCCAGGGGAGCAAACGGG